CGGAGGUGCAAGCGUUAAUCGGAAUUACUGGCGUAAGCGCACGUAGGUGGUUGUUAAGCCAGCUGUGAAAUCCCCGGGCUCAACCUGGGCACUGCAGUUGGAACUGGCAAGCUAGAGUAGGGUAGAGGGUGGUGGAAUUCCAGGUGUAGCGGUGAAAUGCGUAGAUAUCUGGAGGAACAUCAGUGGCGAAGGCGACACCCUGGACUCAUACUGACACUGAGGUGCGAAAGCGUGGGAGCAAACAGGAUU
rnacentral:rRNA from 1 species